UAGGGAAUCUUCCACAAUGGACGCAAGUCUGAUGGGGCAACGCCGCGUGAGUGAAGAAGGGUUUCGGCUCGUAAAGCUCUGUUGUUAAAGAAGAACGUGGGUAAGAGUAACUGUUUACCCAGUGACGGUAUUUAACCAGAAAGCCACGGCUAACUACGUGCCAA
rnacentral:rRNA from 1 species